GACGAACGCUGGCGGCGUGCCUAAUACAUGCAAGUAGAACGCUGAAGGAGGAGCUUGCUUCUCCGGAUGAGUUGCGAACGGGUGAGUAACGCGUAGGUAACCUGCCUGGUAGCGGGGGAUAACUAUUGGAAACGAUAGCUAAUACCGCAUACGAGUAGAUGUCGCAUGACAUUUGCUUAAAAUGUGCAACUGCACCACUACCAGAUGGCCCUGCGUUGUAUUAGCUAGUUGGUGAGGUAACGGCUCACCAAGGCAACGAUACAUAGCCGACCUGAGAGGGUGAUCGGCCACACUGAGACUGAGACACGGCCCAGACUCCGACGGGAGGCAGCAGUAGGGAAUCUUCGGCAAUGGACGGAAGUCUGACCGAGCAACGCCGCGUGAGUGAAGAAGGUUGUCGGAUCGUAAAGCUCUGUUGUAAGAGAAGAACGAGUGUGAGAGUGGAAAGUUCACACUGUGACGGUAUCUUACCAGAAAGGGACGGCUAACUACGUG
rnacentral:rRNA from 1 species